UACAGAGGGUGCAAGCGUUGUUCGGAAUUAUUGGGCGUAAAGCGCGUGUAGGCGGCUUUGCAAGUCGGGUGUGAAAGCCCUCAGCUCAACUGAGGAAGUGCGCCCGAAACUGCAGAGCUUGAGUACCGGAGAGGGUGGCGGAAUUCCCCAAGUAGAGGUGAAAUUCGUAGAUAUGGGGAGGAACACCGGUGGCGAAGGCGGCCGACCUGGACCGGGUACUGACGCUGAUGCGCGAAAGCGUGGGUAGCAAACAGG
rnacentral:rRNA from 1 species